rnacentral:rRNA from 1 species
UACGAAGGGUGCAAGCGUUACUCGGAAUUACUGGGCGUAAAGCGUGCGUAGGUGGUUUGUUAAGUCUGAUGUGAAAGCCCUGGGCUCAACCUGGGAAUUGCAUUGGAUACUGGCAGGCUAGAGUGCGGUAGAGGAUGGCGGAAUUCCCGGUGUAGCAGUGAAAUGCGUAGAGAUCGGGAGGAACAUCGGUGGCGAAGGCGGCGAUCUGGGUCGAUACUGACGCUGAGGUGCGAAAGCGUGGGGAGCAAACAGG